GAUGAACGCUGGCGGCGUGCCUAAUACAUGCAAGUCGAGCGAAUGGAUUAAGAGCUUGCUCUUAUGAAGUUAGCGGCGGACGGGUGAGUAACACGUGGGUAACCUGCCCAUAAGACUGGGAUAACUCCGGGAAACCGGGGCUAAUACCGGAUAACAUUUUGAACCGCAUGGUUCGAAAUUGAAAGGCGGCUUCGGCUGUCACUUAUGGAUGGACCCGCGUCGCAUUAGCUAGUUGGUGAGGUAACGGCUCACCAAGGCAACGAUGCGUAGCCGACCUGAGAGGGUGAUCGGCCACACUGGGACAGAGACACGGCCCAGACUCCUACGGGAGGCAGCAGUAGGGAAUCUUCCGCAAUGGACGAAAGUCUGACGGAGCAACGCCGCGUGAGUGAUGAAGGCCUUCAGGUCGUAAAACUCUGUUGUUAGGGAAGAACAAGUGCUAGUUGAAUAAGCUGGCACCUUGACGGUACCUAACCAGAAAGCCACGGCUAACUACGUGCUAGCAGCCGCCGUAA
rnacentral:rRNA from 1 species